ACCUAAAGAGGUUUCCCUGGAAAAUGCUUUUUAGUCCAGAAUUGGGCUUAAUCUGUGUCUGGUAAACUGUCCCCUAAAGACCUUGUCGAUAGGUUAGGACCUCUAGGUGUGAAAGCUAAGGUAUGUGUUAGACACAAGGCUGAAGGGAACCAGGUUCCUUUGUCUGUGUCACACCCUGAUCUGUUUCACCUGUCUUUGUGCUUGUCCUGUCAAGUGCUACCAGUGUGUUCACGUGCUUCCUGUGCUCUAGUUUUUGUUUUUCUUAUUCUUCCCGGUUCUGACCUUUCUGCCUGUCCUGACCCUGAUCCUGCCUGCCGUCCUGUGCCUGCCUGACUCUGAUUUGGAUUACAACCCUUUGUCUGUCUUGACUUAACUUUUCCCUGCCCCUGAACUAAUAAACUCUGAGACUCGUACUAUCUGCCUCCUGUGUCUGCAUCUGGGUCUUAGCCUGAGCCGUGAUAGUAUGAACUGGCCAUGACUGACCCAGCAGACUCAGACCAGCUCCACAACGCUGUCUCCCAGCAAGGAGCCACCAUUGGAAGACACAAGGAGUUACUGCAAUGCCUUAUGGAGGGACUCCAUACCCUGGCAGAACGUCAUGACCAUGCGUUCGAUACAUUGCUGGAGCAAUUCCGCAGAUUCCCUGCUAGGCAGCAAGCCACACCAGUAAUCCACCGGACUCUCAGCAACCCGCCACCAGCGGCGUACUUCCCAGCCUACCCCACGGCGGUGUAGGAGCAACAGUCUGCCUUUUGCCUUAGUCUGGAGGAGUUUGUGGCGGAGGUACGUAAGGUGUUCGAUUCUCCGUUGUCCGAGAGAGAGGUUGAGGAUUUUUGCACGUUGGCGGCUGAGAGUGCCUGGAACCCAGAAGCCUUGUUCGACAUGUUCUCUCAUGGAUCAUCGGAGGUGAUUUAAAGAUGAGCUCGCAGCCCAUGGACCUCGACUCCUUCAUAGCCUUAACCAUCCGGAUCGAUGGGCGGCUAGGCUACAGGAACAUAGCAGUGAGAGGGAAUCUGUUCCCUGUCGCCCUCGCUCAUCCUCGAUUCCCACCUCGCCUCAGAGGAAUCUCGGGAAUCCCCGAAGUCUACAUUUCCUAGUGAAUCCGAUGUCAACCAAGUUCUCUUGGGAAUCACCGAGGCCUGCCGACUCACCUCCUCCGGAGCCUAUGCAACUGGGCAGGGCUAGAUUGUCUCCUGCUGAGCACUUACGCAGACUAAACACCAAGAGCUGCCUGUAUUGUGCAGCUAUGGGACAUUUCUUAUCUACCUUCCCAUUAAAAUACCAGGCUCGUCAGUAGGUACAAGUACACUGGUGAGCCAUACAGGGAAUUUCCAAUCCCUUACUAGUCAUAACACCCUCUAUGCUACCCUGUUGUGGGGAGGCCAGUCCAAAUCCAUCCAGGUGCUCAUUGACUCUGGGGCCGACGAGAGCAUUAUGGACACUACCCUGGCAUCCCUUUCCAUUCCGAUGGACGUCAGAGCGCUGGAUGGGUGCUCGAUUGGAAGUGUCAACCACAGUAUGGUUCCUAUCCACCUGUGAGUGUCAGGCAACCACAGUGAAUCCAUGCAGUUUCUUCUCCUGGAGUCUCCUCAUUUACCCAUGAUUUUGGGAUUUUCAUGGCCCCAGAGGUACAAUCCCCUUAUCAACUGGGCUACGGGGUCCAUCAUGGGUUGGAGCCCAUUUUGUUAAGCUCAUUGUCUGAAGUUGAUUGAGCCUGCCCCGGGACGUCUCCCUACCGGCUUGGGAAAAACUUCGUGUCUCUCCGCCGUUCCCGCGAAGUACCAGGACAUACGGGAGGUUUUCAACUCUGCCCGAGCCACAUCUCUUCCGCCGUAUCAGCCCUACGACAGUGCUAUCAACCUUCUUCUGGGUACUGCACCGCCUCAGGGGCGACUUCAUUCCCUAUCGGGUCCGGAGACCAAAGUGAUGGAAGGCCCACCCCUCUCCCCCCCAUAUCAUCGACGGCCAACCAGCGUACAUUGUAAGGCGCCUCCUGAAGGUUUGACCGUGGGGCAGGGGUUUCCAGUACCUGGUUGACUGACCUUUUGCCUGCCCCUUUAACUAAUAAACUCUGAGAC
rnacentral:lncRNA from 1 species